CGGAGAGGCAGCAUGAGAAACGGCUACCACUUCUAAGGAAGGCAGCAGGCGCGCAAAUUACCCAAUCCUGACUCAGGGAGGUAGUGACAAGAAAUGACAAUAAACCGGCUUAUGCCGGUUUAAUUGGAAUGAGUACAAUUUAAACAUCUUAACGAGGAACAAUUGGAGGGCAAGUCUGGUGCCAGCAGCCGCGGUAAUUCCAGCUCCAAUAGCGUAUACUAAAGUUGUUGCAGUUAAAAAGCUCGUAGUUGGAUUUCUGCGGGGACGGAGCGGCCGGACGCAACUUGCGUCUCGAGCUAGCGCUUUCCCCACAUCCUGCCGCGAACCGUGCUACCAUUAGCUUGGUGGCGCUGGGGAUCGGCUCGAUUACUUUGAGAAAAAUAGAGUGUUCAAAGCAGGCCACACGCCUUGAAUAAGUUAGCAUGGAAUAAUGAUUAAGGACUUCGGUUCUAUUUUGUUGGUGUUCGGGACUGAAGUAAUGAUUGAUAGGGACAGUUGGGGCGGUCUGUAUCCAAAGCGAGAGGUGAAAUUCUUAGACCUUCGGAAGACAAACAGCUGCGAAAGCGUUCCGCAAGGAUGUUCCCUUUGAUCAAGAACGAAAGUUGGGGGAUCGAAGACGAUCAGAUACCGUCGUAGUCUCAACUAUAAACUAUACCAGCUAGGGAUCGGCCAACGUUUAACUUUAUCGACUUGGUCGGCACCUUAUGAGAAAUCAAAGCAUCUGGGUUCCGGGGGGAGUAUGGUCGCAAGGCUGAAACUUAAAGGAAUUGACGGAAGGGCACCACCAGGCGUGGAGCCUGUGGCUUAAUUUGACUCAACACGGGAAAACUUACCAGGUCCAGACAUAGGAAGGAUUGACAGAUUGAUAGCUCUUUCUUGAUUCUGUGGGUGGUGGUGCAUGGCCGUUUUUAGUCGGUGAAGUGAUUUGUCUGCUUAAUUGCGUUAACGGACGAGACCCCAGCCUGCUAAAUAGCGCGGCCGAGCUUUGCUCGGUGCGAGCUUCUUAGAGGGACCAUGAUGCGCGAUAGCGCAAGGAAGUUUGGGGCAACAACAGGUCUGUGAUGCCCUUAGAUGUUCUGGGCCGCACACGGGCUACACUGGCGCCUGCAACGAGCAUAUCAGCUGGCCCGAGAGGGUCUUGGCUAAUCUUUGGAACCGGCGCCGUGCUUGGGAUUGACCAUUGCAAUUGUUGGUCAUGCAACGAGGAAUGCCUUGUAAACGCGAGUCAUCAGCUCGCAUUGAAUACGUCCCUGCCCUUUGUACACACCGCCCGUCGCUCCUACCGAUGAAUGUUCCGAUGAAAUUUUCGGAGAGCGCCGGAGAACGGGGCUCCGCCCUGCAGAACUGGAGGCUCAAAGUCACUUAAAUCUGAACAUUUCGAGGAAGGAGAAGUCGUAACAAGGUAACC
rnacentral:rRNA from 1 species